UGGGGAAUAUUGCACAAUGGGCGCAAGCCUGAUGCAGCCAUGCCGCGUGUAUGAAGAAGGCCUUCGGGUUGUAAAGUACUUUCAGUCGGGAGGAAGGUGUCAAGGUUAAUAACCUUGGCAAUUGACGUUACCGACAGAAGAAGCACCGGCUAGCUCCGUGCCAGCAGCCGCGGUAAUACGGAGGGUGCAAGCGUUAAUCGGAAUUACUGGGCGUAAAGCGCACGCAGGCGGUUGAUUGAGUCAGAUGUGAAAUCCCCGGGCUUAACCCGGGAAUUGCAUCUGAUACUGGUCAGCUAGAGUCUUGUAGAGGGGGGUAGAAUUCCAUGUGUAGCGGUGAAAUGCGUAGAGAUGUGGAGGAAUACCGGUGGCGAAGGCGGCCCCCUGGACAAAGACUGACGCUCAGGUGCGAAAGCGUGGGGAGCAAACAGG
rnacentral:rRNA from 1 species